ensembl:lncRNA
AUCUUCUCUGACAUCUUCACCUACCUGAGGACUGUAUGGACCUUCCAGAGCGUAGUUUGGCUUUGAGUUCUGUGGAGCAACAGGUUUAGCCAAAAAGUGGUAUAACUCUGCAUGGAAUUUCUUCUGGAUCCUCCCAAACCCUUGGCUGUGAAGGGCUGUAAGGAAGCUGUCACCAGAUGAAAGGAAGGGCUGCUCUGUGCUCAUACAACAACCAACGUCUGUGUUGUGUGGUUCCCAGCUGUGGAUGAGUUGGUUUGAGCUGAACUGCUCUUCACUGUGGUGUUCCUGGACCAGGAGAAGUCCAGGCACAGACUGACCGUGGAAACAGUUUUCUGUGCACCACGUGUGGCCUUCUCCAUCUAAAGCUGGAGGAGAAGCGGUGUUUUUCAAUUCGCACUGCGCAUCUCUGUUCCAGGAGCAGGCAGCGUGCUUGCGUCUUCUCAGGAAUCCAUUUGGCACUUCUUGUGAGCAAUAAAAAUCAGAUGUGAAUCAAAGGACAAGGUAAGCGAGGACAAAGAACAGCCUGUUGUUCUGCAGUGAGAGCCAGAAGAAAAUAUCCUGCCCAAAGUGGGCUUCUACUGGAACUUGGCCAGCUGACACGAGCUGCUUUCAGCAGAGGCUUUAGAAGAGAGGACCAAGCGCUGGGUGGAAGCACGCCUGGCCAUAGAGCUCCCAGGCCCUGGGGGUCUGAGCCACGUAGGCUGGCACAGAAAACCUCUCUGCCACUGGAAAUAAGCAGAAAAAAGGCUCCUGACAUCAGCCUGCGUUGGCAUGGUGUGCGUUAUGGAAAUGGUGGGGCGGCGUGUUGCAUCCUCUGUGCAGCUCGAGAAGGCUUUUCUUAGUCCUAAGGCUGCAUGCAUUUGUUUGAGUCUAUUCAGCAUUAUAUUUGAUCACCUCUAAUAAGAGGAAGUUUCACAAGUUAAUCAAAUCCUUGAGCAGCUUUUUUUGCUUCCCCCGGGCACAAAGUUUGUAAUCUCACACACCCCCUGAAGGUGCAGAGCCUCAGAAUGCAUGCGAGUCCAAGGUGGAAUUUAUUUUAUGACCAAACAGGAGAUACUUGCAGCUGAAAAAUAAAUACCAAGAAUAAGUCAUGCAUUUUUCAUCUCGAGUGGAGUGCAGGGAGGCGAGCAGUCUAAAUGUUUAAAGUGAGCCCUCUGGUAGGCAGCACUUCUACUAAAGCAGAGCUUCUCUCUGAUCAGGAUCACUUGCUGGCCACUGAGAUUAAUGGUCACCCACAGCCCCUGUCCGGCUGAGCGGCUCUGAACUGUGUAUAGGUUCCAAGAUUGUUGUUAGCACAGUUUCCUCCUUCUCUUCUACGCACCUUUCCUCAUCAGAGGUAAUGUGCCUAUCAGCUGUGGAAGCACUUCUGCCUUCAGCUGUUCCCAGAAAGUGGCCAAAACACCUGCUGGUGCUGAUGGCUUUGGAGAAAAGAAAAUCAAAUGUUGUCUCGGCCAGAAGGCGGCUCAAUUAGCUCUUCCUGCUGGGGAUAAUUAGACCUGAGGCUGUGCUGCUGGGAGGAAUCGGUCCUCAGCAUCGAUACUAAAUGAAUUAGGACUUUGUUGGCAACAGAGGGGAACUUAUCAGGACUUGACAGGCAACAGCAGAGCACUCCAACUUUAAAAAUAAAUACACAAAAAUCACAUGGAGUUCACCUUUGGAACACCGUC